rnacentral:rRNA from 1 species
AUUGAACGCUGGCGGCAGGCCUAACACAUGCAAGUCGAACGGUAACAGGAAGAAGCUUGCUUCUUUGCUGACGAGUGGCGGACGGGUGAGUAAUGUCUGGGAAACUGCCUGAUGGAGGGGGAUAACUACUGGAAACGGUAGCUAAUACCGCAUAACGUCGCAAGACCAAAGAGGGGGACCUUCGGGCCUCUUGCCAUCGGAUGUGCCCAGAUGGGAUUAGCUAGUAGGUGGGGUAACGGCUCACCUAGGCGACGCUCCCUAGCUGGUCUGAGAGGAUGACCAGGCACACUGGAACUGAGACACGGUCCAGACUCCUACGGGAGGCAGCAGUGGGGAAUAUUGCACAAUGGGCGCAAGCCUGAUGCAGCCAUGCCGCGUGUAUGAAGAAGGCCUUCGGGUUGUAAAGUACUUUCAGCGGGGAGAAAGGGAGUAAAGUUAAUACCUUGGCUCAUUGACGUUACCCGCAGAAGAAGCACCGGCUAACUCCGUG